AUUGAACGCUGGCGGCAGGCCUAACACAUGCAAGUCGAGCGGAUGAGAGGAGCUUGCUUCUCGAUUCAGCGGCGGACGGGUGAGUAAUGCCUAGGAAUCUGCCUGGUAGUGGGGGACAACGUUUCGAAAGGAACGAUAAUACCGCAUACGUCCUACGGGAGAAAGCAGGGGACCCUCGGGCCUUGCGCUAUCAGAUGAGCCUAGGUCGGAUUGGCUAGUUGGUGAGGUAAUGGCUCACCAAGGAGACGAUCCGUAACUGGUCUGAGAGGAUGAUCAGUCACACUGGAACUGAGACACGGUCCAGACUCCUACGGGAGGCAGCAGUGGGGAAUAUUGGACAAUGGGCGAAAGCCUGAUCCAGCCAUGCCGCGUGUGUGAAGAAGGUCUUCGGAUUGUAAAGCACUUUAAGUUGGGAGGAAGGGUUGUAGAUUAAUACUCUGCAAUUUUGACGUUACCGACAGAAUAAGCACCGGCUAACUCUGUGCCAGCCGCCGCCGUAAGAC
rnacentral:rRNA from 1 species